rnacentral:rRNA from 1 species
GAAUUCACUAGUGAUUCAGGCCUAACACAUGCAAGUCGAGGGGUAGAGUUGGAGCAAUCUGACUUGAGACCGGCGCACGGGUGCGUAACACGUAUGCAACCUACCUUUUACUGGGGUAUAGCUCAGAGAAAUCUGAAUUAAUCCCCCAUAAUAUUAUGAAUUGGCAUCAAUUUGUAAUUAAAGCUGAGGCGGUAAAAGAUGGGCAUGCGUUGUAUUAGCUAGUUGGUGAGGUAAUGGCUCACCAAGGCUACGAUACAUAGGGGUUCUGAGAGGAUGAUCCCCCACAUUGGGGAUGAGACACGGACCAGACUCCUACGGGAGGCAGCAGUAGGGAAUAUUGGUCAAUGGACGCAAGU